GGCCUGUAGCUCAGUGGUAAAGUGCCUGCCUAGCAUGCAUGAGGCCCUGGGUUCAAUCCUCAGCACCA
rnacentral:tRNA from 1 species